AUACAUCCGAAGAGUCCCAAAUAGGACGAAAUGCGCAUCCUGGAU
rnacentral:hammerhead_ribozyme from 1 species